CUAAAGACCCAUACCACCCUGAAUGCGCCCGAUCUCGUCUGAUCUCGGAAGCUAAGCAGGGUCGGGCCUGGUUAGUACUUGGGUGGAAGACCCUACCUAUCAUCUGAUACAGCCAGAUUGGAGG
rnacentral:rRNA from 1 species